ensembl:misc_RNA Metazoa_SRP Metazoan signal recognition particle RNA
GCCGGGUGUGGUAGCGGACGCCUGUAAUCCCAGCUACUUUGGAGGCUGAGGCAGGAGGAUCGCUUGAACCUGGGAGGCGGAGGUUGCAGUGAGCCAAGAUCAGGCCACUGCACUCCAGUCUGGGCAACAGAGUGAGACCCUGUCUCAA